UGGGCUUUUUGUGGCUGUGUGAGGUUCCUGCUUGUUGCAGGGGCCAUUUUGGGUCUAGCACAGCUGCUUUUACAUUGUGGGUGAGCCAGUUGUGUUGUGUUGUGUGUGUUUAGAGUGUGAAAGUUUUUUUGGGGGGCUUUUUGUGGCUGUGUGAGGUUCCUGCUUGUUGCAGGGGCCAUUUUGGGUCUAGCACAGCUGCUUUUACAUUGUAGGUGAGCCAGUUGAUGUUUUUUAAUUUUUAUUUGGUGUGCAUUGGAAGAGGGGUAGUCUUAUAUGGCGAGUAUAGCCCAAACCCUAUAUUUUAACAGGAAAAGUUGGGGGUUGUCUUAUACGCCCAGUCGUCUUAUACACCGGAAAAUACGGUAUAUUUUACCAUUUUAGAAAAAUGUUAAUUUUGUUUAAUUUUUUUAUUGCUGUUUGAGUACUCAUUUUCUAUUUGGCCCUUUAAAACAAAAGCACAAGGCUAAAGAUGCUGGCAGAAUUAUUGUGCUGUAAGCUGCAAAGCUGUAGAAUCAGAAAGCUUUCUCAGUUCAAAAUGUUCUGCAGAAUAUUUUCCACUUGGAACAAAUUUAGCAGUUUCAAAACUAUAUGGAAUUUGAUUAUCUAUUGCCCAACAUUGUUUUCAACACUACACUAAAAGCAUUUUUUUCUCCACACAUCAAAGCUUUUAAUUUCUUUGAAUGUACAGUUGAUGCGUCAUCAAAUGGACUAGAUUUUGAUUUUUUUCACAUCAAAUAAUGUAGCCCAAAUACACGUGCAGGAUAUUAAGGUAGAAUCAUAUUAAUUUGCAGAAGAAGAAAAUCCUCCAAAGUCCACAUCUCUAAUAAUAGGUAUACUACAGUAUAAUUUUCCAGUUAGAUUAAGGAACAAAAGGCAAUUGACCUUUUCUUCAAAAAGAGUAACAUGUGUCCUGAAAUGGCUCCAACCUUUGAAGCAAUCUUUUUUCAUCAACCUUGCCUGUUAUUUCUCAAUGCUCCUGUUUUAGAUUACUGAAGAUAAGGCAGAAGUGACUGAGAAUAGCGGGCAUAAGAUUAACAAGAAAGAAGUGACUAUAUACAAGCAGCAGAAGAGAGGGAGGAUGCAAUGGAAGGAAUGGAAAUUUGUCUCCAGUUUCCCCACAUAUACACGAGCAACAGGUGGGAGAGUGAAAAGUAUUUUUACCUGCCCAAAUUUUUGGUAGAUGACACCAAACUUGAAGUUAUUGCUGAUGACAUGUUCAUCAAAUGCAACAAUGAGUUGGGAAGCCUAGCAGAUGGAGAAAAAGCUUGAAUUAGCAGCUGGUUGGAGAAAAAAUAUCUAGAACAUUCAGAAACAUACAGGGGUUACCUUAGGAUACAGCACAGGAAAGAAACGGUCAACAUUCACAUCUUCACAGAGCAGCUGCAAGGCAAAGUAGGAGGACUUAGCAUUCCUGAUGUAGGAACCUGACUUCCUAGCCAAAGGACAAAUGCCAUUAUGAUUAAUACGAGUCAGAGGAGGCUUUGUAUUUUCAACAGAUUUGCAUUUGCAAGGGAUCUGUCUUUUAAUUUAUUCCUUCUCUUGUUCAAUUAUUAAACUCGCAUUUAUAAAUUUUCAAUGCAAUUAAAUGUGGGUUUUUGAAAUUAAAUGUGGGUUUUAAACUUGUAAUUAGUUAAACUGUCACACUAUUAAGACUGGAUGAAGCAUAUAUACUUAGGAGUUUUACAUGCAAGUUAACUGAAAAGAAAUCAUUAUUCUUCGUCCCCCGAGAGUAACCUCUUAAUAAUUAAUGUGAAUAAUUCUCUUCCAUUCAUUUUACAAAGAUGCCAAAAUGAAGAGUUGCCAGAUUGGAGAAGACUGCUGCGUUGAAUGAAAGUAAAGGAUUCAAUGGGCAAAGGAGUCCAUUCAACAGAAAAGGAGCCAGAAAGCAAAGAAACUCAGAUCUAAAUUAUUGGAAGCUUUAUAAUGAGAAAAUUGGAUAUUUAUAUCGUAAGCUGUUUAAGAAUGCCAAGGACAUCAUCAGGCAGGACAAGGUUUUUGACAGGAACAGCUGCUUAUAUAUACAGUAGGCGGAGCCAGAAAAAUGGAGACUGCGCAUGCUCAGAUCUUAUUUCUGACUCGCGGUUGCUGUAGAACGUUCCCAUGCUUGCGGCUUUUGCUUGGAGAUCCCAGUCGACUUGCUGGCUUCUUGGUCUCAUCUCGGUCGGCUCCAGGUGCUUGGCGUUCAUCUGGGAAGUCGUCUGGAUCCUCGGGGCAUCUCUGUAGUCCUGAUGGUCUCUGCAGUCCUCCAGGAAGGCUUGGCGAUUCUGCUCCGUUGCUCGGCCGCGAGGCAGGGUCCAUCCUGGGUCGCCAUCCGUGUACAUGGAUUGUGUAGAUUGUUCUCUUCUUUCUGGACAUCAUCAGGCAGGACAAGGUUUUUGACAGGAACAGCUGCUUAUAUAUACAGUAGGCGGAGCCAGAAAAGUAAGGAGGAGUCAGGGGAGAGGGAUGUGGUAUACUUCAGAUUUUGACUUAUAUAUAUACAAGCUUAAUUACACAGAUGUAUAUAGUUAGGUAUUUUUCUUUGUAACAGGUUUUUCAGUGGAUUGAUACAAAAUGUAUAUCAGCUACAGUAUUUAUAUCUUUUAUUUUACUAGACAGGUAUUGUAGCUUUUUCAAAAGAAAAAUCCCUGGCUUUUAAUCAGACAAAUAUAGAUUCCCUCUGGGUUCUAAUUAAAGAUAUAUUUCCUUGAUAAAUAUGGGAGUUAAGUUUUUAAAGGCUGCUUUGGCCCACAGAUUAUAGCUUGUCCUUCUGACUACUGAACAACCAGUUCCGGCUGGAUUUGUACAUGACCAUAAAAAUUCUAGCAUUAUUGACAUUUUUUUUAGUUGAUAUUUAUUCUAGCUCUGUUUAAAAUAGACAGGACUUAUUGUAUUUCAUAAACAGGUAUUCAUACUCUAAUUAAUACAUGUACAAUAUCCUGCUUGAUUAUUCUAUAAAUUAGAGGAAGUCAGGCUAGAUCUCAUUGGAUCAUAGCAACAAUUCUGACAAACAAAUGGAUUGUUUUAUAUACCUUUAGACUUUAUCUCAAUACUGAAUGUAAUGCAACGGUUACACAUUGAAAACAUUUGGGUCUAACUGCUAUAAACUGCUAUUUAUCCUGCUAAUAUAUUAGCAGGAUAAAUAUAUUACUAUGGAUACAUAUUAAGCGUUCAAGAUGCUUAUGUUCUUCUUGCUUCUAAUUAUCAGCAUACCUUAUCAUGGCAAGGGAUUAGCUAAAUGCUGGAACACAAAAAAAAAUCUAUUCUUGAUUUACAGAGUACGUGUUGUCUGUUUGAAUUUGAAUUCACUUUUUCUAGCAUAGUGCAAGACUUUCAAGCAAUAGAAACAAAGUUUUGGAACUAUUCUGUUGAUUGCAUAAUUUCCCAAGCCUUUUUUUUAUUAUGAAGUUUAUUAAUUUUGAGGUUAUAUUAUACUGAUAAUAUUGCUCUCUCUAUAUCUUUUCUUCUCUAGCAGAGUAGAGUACUAUACUAUAAUGAGUAUAGGCGCACUCUAACCACUGCACCGAGGUGGCGUAGUGGUUAGAGUGCAAUACUGCAGCUACUUCAGCUGACUGCUAGUUCAGCAGAUCAGCGGAUCAAAUCUCACUGGCUCAAGGUUGACUCAGCCUUCCAUCCUUCCGAGGUGGGUAAAAUGAGGACCCAGAUUGUUAGGAGAAAAUAUGCUAUUUAGUAUACUGUCUUUGGUGUAAGCCGCCCAGAAUCCUCGGAGAGUGGGCGGCAUAGAAAUAUGACUAAUAAUAAUAAAUAUGACUAAUAAUAAUAAUAUAAUUAAAAAUUGAGUUGACAUAGUAAAU